CGCGUAGGUGGUUUGUUAAGUUGGAUGUGAAAGCCCCGGGCUCAACCUGGGAACUGCAUUCAAAACUGACUGACUAGAGUAUGGUAGAGGGUGGUGGAAUUUCCUGUGUAGCGGUGAAAUGCGUAGAUAUAGGAAGGAACACCAGUGGCGAAGGCGACCACCUGGACUAAUACUGACACUGAGGUGCGAAAGCGUGGGGAGCAAACA
rnacentral:rRNA from 1 species